AGACAAUGUGAGCCGAACAUCCCGAGAGCAGAGAAGGGAGAAGAGAGGGAAAGGCCUGGUCUAUGAGAAAGCGGCAAGAGGGAGAAAUCGGGUUUUUUUGGAACAGAUCCGAUCUGAGUUUCCGUAACCCAAUGAUAUCGAUUCAUGGCGUGGGAAUCAAUCUUUGACAACAAUGGAAUCUCAUGUCUAUUCACCCUGCCGCUUUGAUCAACAUUGUGGGAGUCAGACAUGGACAGUAACAGAAUCAUGCCCAUCUACCUUAUCCCCAUUCUCUCCCUUCUCUUAUGCUCCUCGACGUCAUGGAUAGGCCCGAUCUGUAUUUCAAGCCCACCCCAUACCCACCGAGGUGGCUGUUGCUAGCUUUAGCAUUUGUCUUAGUAUUCGGAAUUGAGUUAAUCUUCCACACUUGUCAUCUCCGUCCUACUUGUGCUGCCGUCCUCCGCACUACCAUGGUGUUUUCUGCCUCCAGCUGAUUGGAUUCAUUUUGGCAUCACGGACAAGCUUGAGACUAUUAACAGGAGUAUUCUGGGCAUCAAAGCACAAACCUGUCAAGGUCACAAGUGAUGUUUCCCAUAUCAUACACCUGAUGUUUCCCAUGGCAGCAGGAGCUCAAGUAAAGAGAAUUUGAGGUGUUAGUCAUAGAGGUUGGAGUUCCAAAAUCACCUUUUACCUCUACCUGGCUCCCAAAUGUUUGAAAUUAUGUGCCCUUUUACAUUGUAUAGAUGGGUCGUUGUCAUGCAUCCAGGAACAUUAGUGAUGCCUAGAAAGCCAAUGAGAGGGAACCAGAAAUCACCAUGGCAGUACGGAGGAGAGCAGCAGAAUAAGAAUGGAAGGUGAGCUAAAUUCCAAAUGCCAAGACAAAUACUAAUAAGCUAGCAGCAGCCACCUUGGUAGUUAUGGGGUGGGCUUGCAAUGCAGAGUUUGGCUUAUUCUGGAACUUAAACUCGAUGAGGUUGAGAAGCAUGGGAAGAAUAAAGGUAAGAAGGUCAAGAAUGACGUUACGUGCAGUAGAAAUAUGAUUAUGUUGUUGUAAUGUUGUUGGGUGGAUUAUGUUGCUGCAAUGUUGUUGGAGGUUAAUUCCCAGAAUGUUAAAAGUAGCAUGGUUGUGUUCUGGACACCUAAUUUAUCUCUAAAAUAAUUGUUUCUCAUCUCUUUGGAAAAGCAAAUGAAAGAGUAUUUGUAAAUGAACCAGCUUGUGGCUCCUGCCAUGAAACUCUAGAGUUAACUGAUUAGAAUGAAUGAGAAUAAGAUUCAUGUUGUAUUUCA